rnacentral:tRNA from 1 species
UAUAGCUCAAUUGGUAGAGUGCCUGCCUCACAGGCACAAGGCCCUGGGUUCAAUCCUAGUA